rnacentral:rRNA from 1 species
GAUGAACGCUAGCGGCAGGCUUAACACAUGCAAGUUGAGGGGUAACAGGGAAGAGCUUGCUUUUCUGCUGACGACCGGCGCACGGGUGCGUAACGCGUAUAGAACCUACCUUUUACAGGGGAAUAGCCCAGAGAAAUUUGGAUUAAUGCCCCAUAGUAUUAUUGAAUGGCAUCAUUUAAUAAUUAAACAUUUAUGGGUAAAAGAUGGCUAUGCGUUCUAUUAGCUAGAUGGUAAGGUAACGGCUUACCAUGGCAACGAUAGAUAGGGGUCCUGAGAGGGAGAUCCCCCACACUGGUACUGAGACACGGACCAGACUCCUACGGGAGGCAGCAGUGAGGAAUAUUGGACAAUGGAGGCAACUCUGAUCCAGCCAUGCCGCGUGCAGGAAGACGGUCCUAUGGAUUGUAAACUGCUUUUAUAUAGGAAGAAACCUUUCCACGUGUGGAAAGCUGACGGUACUAUAAGAAUAAGCACCGGCUAACUCCGUGCCAGCAGCCGCGGUAAUACGGAGGGUGCAAGCGUUAUCCGGAAUCAUUGGGUUUAAAGGGUCCGUAGGCGGACUAAUAAGUCAGGGGUGAAAUCCAACAGCUUAACUGUUGAACUGCCUUUGAUACUGUUAGUCUUGAGUUAUAUGGAAGUAGAUAGAAUAUGUAGUGUAGCGGUGAAAUGCUUAGAGAUUACAUAGAAUACCGAUUGCGAAGGCAG